CCUACGGGGGGCAGCAGUGAGGAAUAUUGGUCAAUGGGCGUAAGCCUGAACCAGCCAAGUCGCGUGCAGGAUGAAGGCUCUAUGGAUUGUAAACUUCUUUUAUACGGGAAUAAAAUGUGGGACGUGUCCUGUUUUGUAUGUACCUUAUGAAUAAGGACCGGCUAAUUCCGUGCCAGCAGCCGCGGUAAUACGGAGGAUGCGAGCUUUAUCCGGAUUUAUUGGGUUUAAAGGGUGCGUAGGCGGGAUGCUAAGUCAGCGGUAAAAGUGCGGUGCUCAACGCGGUCGAGCCGUGGGAACUGGCGUUCUUGAGUGGGCGGAAAGUAUGCGGAAUGCGUGGUGUAGCGGUGAAAUGCAUAGAUAUCACGCAGAACUCCGAUUGCGAAGGCAGCAUACGGGCGCCCUACUGACGCUGAGGCACGAAGGCGUGGGUAUCGAACAGGAUUAGAUACCCCAGUAGUC
rnacentral:rRNA from 1 species